rnacentral:rRNA from 1 species
GGAGCUGAGCAGCAACGCCGCGUGAGUGAUGAAGGCCUUCGGGUUGUAAAGCCCUGUUCUUGUGGGACGAAAGGUGUCG